AGGAAAGCAUGUUUCUGAGUCCACAUGGAAGAACUUUUUUGUUUCUCUCCUUUGCUAAUUGCACCUCCCUCAGUAGGGUUGCAGAGGUAGGCAGGUGGACAGCGGAGCCUAUGUAGUCAGUGUUACAGUUGGUGCAAAGAGAAUCCAGCCCAGGCCUCCGCUGUCAUUGUGAAGGCUGCUUAAACUGUGGUUCUUGGAGCACAAUUCCCCAGUUCUAAUUGUGUCUCCACCUUCUGGAACAGCAAAGGUGGCAUGUUCAGUCACACGCUGCCACCAUGAUGCUGCUUCUUUGUCUCUCACAUGGAGAAGCCCACACUAAGCUCAGUGUCUGGCUCUCAUAGUGAUAUGGGCAGGUGGGAACGAGAGAGGCGGUGAUGGGGAGGUGGGAACAAGAGAGGUGGUGAUGGGGAGGGAACAAAGAGGAAGGACCAGAAUUUGUUUCCUGACAUGGACAACACGAGAAUGAACCAACCCCUGAUCUCGGUGAUCCUGAGUGACUACUCUCCUUUUCCUGAAGACAUGGAUAACAGGCCACAGUGACCUAUGGUUCCCCAAACACACUGCUGGGUGCCAGAACCUACUGAGCACGAUUUAAAAGCACCUAUGCGUGAUAUAGUCAGCCUGAUGUUAUUUUGUUUGGUUCUGGAGACAAACCACCCUAUCACUGUCUGCUAACCUGAGCCACACAGCUCAGUGACCAGGCACAUCUGGUCACUACUACACCAGAGCCAGCUCAGGCAGCCCCAGCACCAGAUGGUCUUGGUUUGAACUCUCUAGGGAGGUGGGACUUUACCUCUGGGGGGAAAUGUGGUGCAAGAAGGGAGGCCACUGUGCAUUCUGACUUGGAGUGUGCACAUCCCAUAACUGCUGCAGAAUCUGAAUACUUGAAGUAGAUGGUAUAGCCGGUAUCACUCCUCUUAUCGAUAAGCUGUGUCUCUCAAUGGUGAUAUAUCUUUGAAAGAAAUGUCUUGUUUGUCUAGAAUGUAUGCACUUUUUCCUUCUCCUCUUUGAGAAAACAGACAGUCUGGUCUCAAACUUGCUACAGAGCUAAGGAUAAAUUCGAACUUCUCAUUCUCCUGCCUCUACCUUCCAAGUGCUGGACUACAGGCCUGGGUUGCUAUGUUCCGGCUGAGGGCAGGACUUGGAGCAAGUGGAUGCAGGAGCAGGGAGACAAACAGACCCCCUUUUGGUAAAGCCCUAAUGAAAUAGUUUCCUCUCAAAUGUUAGAUGUGGUAUAUGAUCCCCCAAAAGGAUUAGGAAAAGAUGGUUAAGGAAGAUUAUUUCCAAUAGAACCUAUAAACAAGCAGAAUAGGGUAUCGGAAAUUUUAAUUAAGGCCAUUGCAGAACAGUUGACCUUAUAACCUGAAGGUCUGAUGGAGGUCUGGGUGGAGCAAUAGCCCCUAACCCAAGAAAAACAUCCAGGUGGCAGAAGUUCUAGUUCAAGAGCAGUUAGAUGUGGGCCAUAAUGAACCUGCAACAAGUCCUUGGAAUACCCCAAUUUUUAUUAUU
rnacentral:lncRNA from 1 species